rnacentral:rRNA from 1 species
UACAGAGGGGGCAAGCGUUGUUCGGAAUUACUGGGCGUAAAGGGCGCGUAGGCGGCCUUCUAAGUCGGACGUGAAAUCCCCGGGCUCAACCCGGGAACUGCGUCCGAGACUGGAAGGCUCGAAUCCGGGAGAGGGAUGUGGAAUUCCAGGUGUAGCGGUGAAAUGCGUAGAUAUCUGGAGGAACACCGGUGGCGAAGGCGGCAUCCUGGACCGGUAUUGACGCUGAGGCGCGAAAGCGUGGGGAGCAAACAGG